UUCUGUCUACUACCUCA
rnacentral:miRNA from 1 species